CUAUUGCCCAGUGUCACCAGACAGGCUGUGUGGUGUCCAUCAUGGGCAGAAGGAGACCCCUGCCAAGGAUUCACGCUCAUGACCAGCAACUCCGGGCACAAGCAGAGCGACAGGCAGUGAACUUCGUGGUGCAAGGCUCUGCUGCUGACCUCUGCAAGCUGGCCAUGAUCCAUGUCUUCACUGCAGUGGCUGCUUCCCACACCUUGACGGCCAGAUUAACAAAAUCUGAGCUGCAAGAAAAUAGGGUGCCGAUUUCUGUACAGUCUACAAAACUCCCAUCCCCAAGCGGGGACCGGGCACCUCCAGGGAGGAAUGUACAGGGGAGUGGGGUCUGUACAGUGCUCUGCACACCUCAAUUGCUAACAGGACAAAAGGCCCUUGGACGCAGGGCUUCUCUGUCCCCUCGCUCACUUCUGAAGCGCCUCGUGAGAAGCAUCCCUCCAUGGCCCUGCACGUGGCCUUGAUGCCUGGGACCCAGUUCCGUGGCCCACCCUGCCUGCCACGACCCCUCCCCAAUUCCCCCACACAAAGGGGUCUGGGCAAGUGUUUAUUCUUCUCCUGCCACCAAAGCCAGGUCCACUUCUAAGCUGAAUGUGCAGCCUGUGCCACCCUCCACCUCUGUCUCCCCUUCCAGGCCACCCCCCCCCCCCCCGUCCAGGGCAGCCCCUGCCUGUGACCUCAGGAAGGAGAGACCAGGAGCAUGGCCAGCAGAAGCCGAGGCGGCCACCCCUCUUCCCACCCAGCCCAAGGCAGCGCCCUGCCCCUCCUCCCAGAGGCUGCGGACUCCCUUGCCCCCCACACUGCCCACCCUGCAGGCCGGGGCUGGGAGGCGUGCUCCAUGGCGGGAAAUGACAUCCAAUCAGGGUUUCCCUCCAGGUUUCCAACAGCAAAACGCUCCACCCACCCGGCCACCCACCCCCAUCACACUGGGCCAGAAACUGUCUUAGGGUACAAACUACCGUUUUGUCCCAAGAAUUAAAGUCAUGCAGAGUGCUAUUCUGUCUAAAUAACUUAUUAGAAAAUGUGUUGGUUUCAGGCUGGGAGAAGCUGUGGGCUGGAGGCUGUUGGCAGCAGCCUGGGCUGGUAAGAUUCACAGGGUGGACCGUCAGCCAGAGGCAGGAGGUCCCCGGGGACAUCUGGGAGAGGCCACCACGAUCCAGUGGGCACUGGGGAGAGGGGACCCAUGGACCCCCACCCUGGCUGUGCCACGGACGCCAUGGGAGUCACCUGGGCGAUGACACCGGUCAGCCCAGCCCAGGCAGGGGAGGGGCCGGAGCCAGAGAAAAGGAGGGCGUCAGAGCAAAGCAGGUGUGGACUGAGCCGGGCUGCGCGGGGCAGACCAGGCCCUCCAGGAGGUGUGGGCAGGGGCAGGCCCUCCCACAGCCACCUGGGGGCCGGGGACAGGGGCGCUCACCAGCCCGGGUCUCCGGGUCCAGUCUGUGCAGGGCGGCA
rnacentral:lncRNA from 1 species